CGAGAUGAUGCCUCAUGAACCACCAAAGUGGUUUGUGCUCGAAGCUUCAAAUGAGUACGCUAGGGACAUCUAGUGGUGAAUGAAAUUAUGACAACCCAACCCAAAAUUUGAUUUUUGCUUCGUGUGCCGAUACAACAUUAAAUCAUUUGAGAAUUGAAGUAAUUUCAGUGAUACAUGUGUGUGAGGGUGCCAUUCAUAAAAUGGCACAGAGCUCAUGCUAGAAAAUAAAUCAUUUGGCAAAAGUGUGUCUCAGCAGACGCUUUUAUCCAAAGCGACUUACAUCGGUAAAUACACACAUUGACACCCUGACGUCAGAGUCAACCAUGCAAGGCGACAGUCAGCUGUCAAGAGCAAAGUGACAGGGACACAACAACACUGAGCUAGGAGGAGCUGGGGAAUGAACUAGCACCCUACCGGUUACAAGUCAACUGCUCUACCUCCUGAGCUAAGCCGACCCACACUGCAUGAUAACUGAGAAGGAGUGAUUGAUUUAAUAGCCAUUAAAGUCGAAAUCUCCCGCCAAUACUGAACCCAUAUUUCGAAGCAGUAGCCCGAGGCGAAGCCUCGAACGUCACACCCUACGUCAUUUCGCCAACGUGAAUCCUACUCGAAGCGGAGCUUCGCUGGGGGAGGAGCCGACAUACUCGACACACGCCCCGAUGCCUCGACGCAAAACGUAACCUCUAGUGUUGACUAGUCGGCGCCAACGUUAAUAAGUAACUCUUAUUAACUCAGCAAAGGGAUGUUAGCCGUCGACAUUUUCCCCAGAUGUUCUAAUUAUGUUUCAUUGUUAGACGUUUGAUCUGGACUCAAGCUGUAGGCCUACCAGUCAGAUGAUUAACUCAGUGGAGGAGGAGGACAUUGCGGAUAUCAGGGCCUACUUUUCCACAACAAAAUGGAACCGCCUCUGUAUGGCAGAGAAAAAAAGAUUCCUGCAGAUCAAGGAAAACCAUUUGGUUAUGUCGUCUCUUGGCCUGUCCUUUGUGGCUCCAGCCUUCAUGAGGAGAGAGAAGCCCGGCCAGGUGAGAGUCUGCUCACCUGAAGAGACAGACUCUGAGGAGGAGCAGCUCUGGACCUCUGGAUUGACCGGUGCUCGAGUGUGGAAGCCACCAACAGUCAGACAGGGGUCUCUACAACAGCCCAGUACGUCAGAUGCAGUUUCUGUACAGGUAUAAAACAGCACACAUCACCUUCAGCAGCCUUACCAUGUCCUGUCCUCUAUGGUACGAGACCUGCUUCAUGUCCGUGUGACAGCAGACUCAUGGAUUAAGGGUAUUAAUGACACCAGCACGAUGUAUAACCUUAGACGUAUUGUUGCUAGGAGGUAAGGUACCUACUAGGGGUGUACGGUAUAAACGGUGCUGAACGUAUACCGGUGUGAAUUUGCGCUACGGUAUGGAUUUUGACGUUACCGUGAGACCGGUGUGACCGGUAGACAAUGUUGUGUGUAACGCGUAACAAAGUAAGUAAUGCGUUAAUACAGUUCCCUGACUACUUUUUCAUGUAAAAAGUAAAGUUACGAGCAACUACUGAAAAUAUGGUAACGAAACAUAGUUCCUUUUUCAAUUCGGCACCACGUUACUUUUCCCAAGGACAGAUUGACAGCGAUACUGCCUUCUCAGGCCGUAUGCUAUUGCGCAAGC